AAGACAAUGGCAAACCCGAUCGAAAGACGGGGACGCAAAGCCACGGGCCUAGGACAUUGGUUGUAACUCCAGUGUGACGGUAGCCGGGUUACCUA
rnacentral:ncRNA from 1 species